AUGAGCUCUGCACAGCAGCUACUUUUCUUCUGUUUUCUCAGCUUCACACGGAGGGUAUGGAGCACAAAUGUGAACCAGACCCCUUCGGAACAUAUCACACGUGAGGGUGGAGAGCUCAAGAUCUCCUGCUCUCACAACAACAACAACUUUGACUACAUGUACUGGUAUCGCCAGCGCCUGGGGAAAAGUUUAGAGCUUAUCGCUUAUAUUCUUACCAGCAGUCCACCACAGUUUGAGAAGGACUUCAAAAAAGAGGAGGCCAGAUGUGACAUUAAAAAGCCUGAAACACUCUCGGGCUCAUUUAAGAUGAGUGCACUGAGAGCGGAGGACACAGCUGUGUAUUUCUGCGCCACAAGUCAACACGGUGGCCCAUUACACUGCGACUCGUUCGCAAAAACUUCCCCGGUGUGGGGCACCCCAGGGCUGCUAGCUGGAAGUGGGGGGUUGGUGGAUGGCGAGUCGUAA